UUUUAUUAUUUAGGAAAGCACAACCCCAAGGAUAAAAAGAUUCCUGGCUUUCUUUCUGUGUCUUUUAUUCUGCCUAUUUGCUAUGUUGUCAAGUUUCAUCAAUCAUCAAGCAUGAUACUAGUGAUUUGACAUCUCCAGCUCUUACUUUGGCUAAGGGAAUAUGUCUUGUAGUACAAGUGCACAGUCAUGCCCUAUUUUUGUCGAUUUAAAAAUGUCGAUGUAUCAUGGAGAUCUUCAGAUACAUCACCACAGAAAAAAAUACAUUGCAGUCAUUGUUC
rnacentral:lncRNA from 1 species